GAGUUUGAUCCUGGCUCAGGACGAACGCUGGCGGCGUGCCUAAUACAUGCAAGUCGAGCGAGCUUGCCUAGAUGAUUUUAGUGCUUGCACUAAAUGAAACUAGAUACAAGCGAGCGGCGGACGGGUGAGUAACACGUGGGUAACCUGCCCAAGAGACUGGGAUAACACCUGGAAACAGAUGCUAAUACCGGAUAACAACACUAGACGCAUGUCUAGAGUUUGAAAGAUGGUUCUGCUAUCACUCUUGGAUGGACCUGCGGUGCAUUAGCUAGUUGGUAAGGUAACGGCUUACCAAGGCAAUGAUGCAUAGCCGAGUUGAGAGACUGAUCGGCCACAUUGGGACUGAGACACGGCCCAAACUCCUACGGGAGGCAGCAGUAGGGAAUCUUCCACAAUGGACGAAAGUCUGAUGGAGCAACGCCGCGUGAGUGAAGAAGGGUUUCGGCUCGUAAAGCUCUGUUGGUAGUGAAGAAAGAUAGAGGUAGUAACUGGCCUUUAUUUGACGGUAAUUACUUAGAAAGUCACGGCUAACUACGUGCCAGCAGCCGCGGUAAUACGUAGGUGGCAAGCGUUGUCCGGAUUCAUUGGGCGUAAAGCGAGUGCAGGCGGUUC
rnacentral:rRNA from 1 species